AUGGCGUCCCAGCUGGUCGAGAGCCACCGCGCCGGGGCCGAGGUCAUCAAGGGGGGCGAAGUCUGCAAGAAGAAGCCCGUCGAGCUCCUUGAAGAGCUCGGCCUCCCGAAAGGCCUCUUUCCAAUGGGCGACAUCGAGGAGAUCGGGUACAACCCGCUCGCGGGUUCGUGUGGAUGCUUCAGAAGAAGAAGAGCGAGCACACCUUCAAGAAGAUCGAGCAAACCGUCUCCUACGACACCGAGGUGA
rnacentral:rRNA from 1 species